UUAGGGAUCUUGCGCAAUGGCCGAAAGGCUGACACAGCGACGCCGCGUGGGGGAGGACGGCCCUCGGGUUGUAAACCCCUUUUGGCGGGGACGAGGAUGGACGGUACCCGCCGAAUAAGCACCGGCUAACUCCGUGCCAGCAGCCGCGGUAAUACGGGGGGUGCGAGCGUUGUCCGGAUUCACUGGGCGUAAAGGGCGCGUAGGCGGCUGGCUCAGUCGGGCCUGUAAGUGCGGGGCUUAACCCCGUGAUGGGCCCGGGACGGGUCGGCUGGGGGCGCGGUCGAGGGAGACGGAAUGCCGGGUGUAGUGGUGAAAUGCGUAGAGAUCCGGCGGAACACCGGUGGUGAAGGCGGUCUCCUGGGGCCGAGGGCCGACGCUGAGGCGCGAGAGCGUGGGGAGCGAACCGGAUUAGAUACCCGGGUAGUCCACGCCGUAAACGGUGGAUGCUAGGUGUGGGGGGUAUCGACCCCCCCGUGCCGGCGCGAACGCAGGAAGCAUCCCGCCUGGGGAGUACGGCCGCAAGGC
rnacentral:rRNA from 1 species